AAGACCCUAAAAAUACUAAGUUCUAAAGGAGCUCUGUACAAAAGAGACCGAAGCUCCAUUUUUCUUCUUCCCUCUUCUCGAUUCUCUCUGCAAAAGCUACAUUACUUCUUGAAGUUUCUCAAAUUAAAUCUUUCAGUUUUGUUUAAUCACAAGAUGUGAACCUAAUUUAUGAAACCCAAAAGCCCUAAGACCACUUGUUUUCUAAGAUUGUAUUCAAAUCAGGAGUAUAAAGUAAUUUCCCCCCCACUUUCCUUCGUGUACAGCCCUUUCUCGGUGUUGAUGAUCUCUUUCGCUGGGAGGGUCCAAAUGACAGGAUGAGGUAAAGGUCGAAGUGGAACUGGUCGUGGACGUGUCCAUUUUCAAGGACGUGGUAAUUCUAGAGUGAUGCCUCAGUCACAAGUACAACCAAUAGGGAAUACUACAGCAUCUCCUAAGAUAGGAGAAUCAAAUAAUCUCAGUCAAGAACCUCUAGACAGAGGACAAGUAUCAAGUAACCCUUGGCAGAGACCUUCUCUAAAGAUAGUAUCGUCAAGGAAUCUGGAUAGAAGUGUGCUUCCUCUCCUGAAGUUGAAAAUGGUGCAGGUUAGGUUUUGUUUUACUAAUUCUCUUUACUUAUUGCAAAAUAUAAUACUGGUAUAUGUUGGAUUGAUACGUGUUUAUCCCAAAUUGGGAUUAAUUUUACGAGGCAUAUGACGUGUUUGAUAAAAUACCUUAGAGAAAUCUUUGUUUAUAUUCUAUGCAGCUUUGAGAAUGCUAGCUUAUUUUAUGUUAUUGUUGUAAAGAAGUGUCAUCUUACGUUAAAUUUGGAUUUGUUUCGGACGUUUAUAUUCUGAUGUAAUUCUGAAAUUCUGGAUAUGCAAAAUUUGGUUGGACAAUUUUAGAAAUAGGAGAAAAUUCAGACUCCUAAGUGUUUAUGUUGAGUAGAAUCUAAUGCAUCUAAUGAUUGGCAAAAAAUAUAUUUUGGUAAAUUUUGGUGUGUGCUUUAACUCUUUAUAUGUUACCAUUUUGGCUAGCAUGAACCUCUCAUUCUUGGUGUCAUUUCUUUGGAAUUGGUUUACAGUGAAGUAAAAAAGAACCAACUUUAGGAUAUGUGGCUGCAAGAGAAUACCAUUGGGAGUUGACAUCAGCUUCCCCCGUCAAUUUGUUGUAUAUGUGGCUGAAUUUAUGUUAUAUUUCGCUGUGUCUAUUCAGAAAGUAACGAAGAAAACAUGUACUAUUCAACUAACUUUAGGAUAUGUGGCUGGAAGAGAAUACCAUUCAAGUAAUCUUUUCAAGUAUUUGUUCGCAUCUCCUAAAGUAGUUCUGCCUAAGGAUCUAAACCAUAGUUGAUAUGUUCUUGUAUAUAAUUUUUUUUCUCCUCAAUGUUACCUUCAAGCUAAAACAAAAGAAUUUUAAUUAAAGUUGAAUUCUGCCUGAAACAUUUCCACCUUGAAUUCUGCCUGAAACAUUUCCACCUUAAUAGAUGCACAAACGCGAACCAUAAAAAAAUAUUACACUUAUGCUCAUGUUUCUAUUUUAUUGUUUUCUUGACUUCUUUUUAGCUAUUCGUGUACUUGAUUUUUUGGUAAUAGAUGUGUUGCGUCGUUAUUGAAUGUCAUAAUUGCACUGAUAUGUGUCCACCUUCAGUAAAUGCAUUUUCUUUUCCAUCUACUGUAUGUCUUAUUCAAACUUGAAUGGCCAUAGCCAAUGCAACCCCAAAAUUCUUUAAGCCAGAGUGAAAAACUAGCACUCAACAUAGUGGUCUAUGGAUAGCUUUUGUUAAACAUGAGCUAAUGAGCAGGGAAAUGAUCAUACUUUGCAUUAGAUAAUACCGAAUAAGUGGAUGAAGAGCUGCACUACCAAAAAAAGUAGGAAUUAAACACAUUAUAAACUUCCCAAAUUCAUGUAAAAUCUUAGGAUCUUGUCCGACUAACAUGAGCAAUCAUCCUACGUAUAGCCAUAACAUUGAAAAGGUGAUGCAAAUAAUAAAGAGACAGAAUAUAGCAGUGUAUGUUUGUGUUCCAAUUUUCUUGUAUUGCUUUGCUCCAUAAGCCUGUCCACAGAGAAUACUAGCCAUUCCUAGCUGCAAAUCACAUGUAAUAAGAGCUUUUCAGCUAACUAAAACAAAAUUAGCAUCAACUGCAUUUCCUAUUCAAACUUGAAGCUAUACUUAGGAGACGUGGUUAAUGGUUGAAAUUGUCAUAAUAUAUUUUUCCACUUCUAUGUCAUCCAUUGUACUAUUAGCAUUAGAUUAUGAGCAUUGUCAAACUGAUCUUGUGUUUUUUUCGUGUAAUAACUGGAACACGGUUCUUAAACAAUGAAGACAAUGAAGAAGAAGGCACUUAGUAUUUUGCUUUUUUGGGAUGUAUAUGCAUACAAUGGCAAUGAAGUAUUCUGCAUUAUAUAUGUAAUUCGCAUUUUAGCAAUGGAAGUAUUUAAUAUCCGACUUAAGAAAUUCUUUUGGUGUUUGUAAAAUACUAUUGAAUGCGUUAAUAUAAUUUUGGCCAUUAGAGUUGCUGAAUUAAAUAGGUUUCAUUGGUGGCAAAAUCUUAUUCAGAAAAUUAUUUGUUGCAAUAUUGGAAGUUGCCACUGAUUGUUUAACAGUUUUUGUAGCAAUUAUCACCGCCACUAAAUGUCAUUCUCCAGCAGCGAGCUCGCGACAUCAAUUGCUACUAAAAGUAACUCUCCAGUAGCGAUAUGAGAGUUGCUGCUAAUAGCUAAUUGUUUAUGUGGCGACUUAAGUUGCUACUAAAAGCAACUUCUAGUAGCGAUAAAGUAGCUGCCACCGAUAGUCAUUUAUUUUUGUGGCGACAAUUGUCGCUGCUAAAUGUCACUCUUCAGUGGUGGCUUGCCCCUGAAUCUGUUUGGUGGAACUACCUUUUGUGGCGAUUUGGCUUACUUUUUGUAGCGAUAAUGUUGCCACAAAAUAUCACCAUUCUGUUGUAACAACCUGUAGUCGUCACAAAUAACAUUUAGUAAUGGACUUAAUUGCAGCAAGUCCAAUGUCGCUACUAUAAACAUUUAGUGGCGACAUAUGAUGAUUUCGUAGCGACAUGGUCGCUAUCUUAUUUUAUUCUUACCAUUUUUUCUGAUCAGUGGAUGCCAUUUUCUAGUGCGUGUCUUCAUUUUCUUGCAAGAUCGAAAUUUGAGGACAAAUUUUCUUCAAGAAGAGGGGAAUGAUAGCAUCCUAGGAAGCUCAAAUAUAUUCAAGGACAAGGAUGAAGCUUUGGAAUCUCAAAGAUAGCCUUUAACAAGAUCUCAAGCUAAAAAGUUGCAAAACAAGGUCAUUGAACUUAGGAACGAUCAAAGUUGUUAGUCAGGAGGAAGAGCUUAAGGAUAAAUGAUAUGAGCUAACUAGGUGUUAUAAUUAUUUUAUGGCCCAAAUUCAUGUCCAAUAAUGUAUGGAUUAGAUCGAAGGAAAUAUCCUCUAAAGAAGGUCCAAAUCAUGCCACUGUUGAACCAAUUUAGCACCUAAAAUGUGUCCAAACUUGCAGCUCAUGAAGUCCUACAUAAAGCCAGAUUUUCAUAGCAUAAAAAGGACUUACUUGAUGUCCAAGAAUGGUACAAUAGUCGUGUUAGAUGUUGAGUGCAAGUUGGUGCCAGGUUGCUUGCAAAUUUCCAUCAAGAUUUUCAAGAUUCUAUCAAAGAUUGGUUUGGGAUUUAUUUCCAUAUAUUAUGGGACUA